UGGGGUGACCGACUGUCACGGUUUGCUGGGGACUGAGGGGUUUCCCUAGGCUCUCAGUGCUGAAAUCAGGUCAGUCUCAGGCAAACUGGAACUGUGGGUCACUCCGAGGGCAU
rnacentral:pre_miRNA from 1 species